rnacentral:rRNA from 1 species
UACGUAGGGUGCAAGCGUUGUCCGGAAUUAUUGUGCGUAAAGAGCUUGUAGGCGGUUUGUCGCGUCUGCUGUGAAAUUUCGGGGCUCAACCCCGAACUUGCAGUGGGUACGGGCAGACUAGAGUGUGGUAGGGGAGACUGGAAUUCCUGGUGUAGCGGUGAAAUGCGCAGAUAUCAGGAGGAACACCGAUGGCGAAGGCGGCUCUCUGGGCCUUACCUGACGCUGAGGAGCGAAAGCGUGGGUAGCGAACAGG